rnacentral:rRNA from 1 species
ACAUUMUCGCGAUCAGYCUGCCUUCGGGACAGGUGUACUUCCCCGUCGGCGGGCCAGCGUCGGUUUGGGUGGCCGGUCAAAGGCCCUGGGAAUGUAACGCCUCUCGGGGMGYCUUAUAGCCCAGGGUGUCAUGCGGCCUACCCGGACCGAGGAACGCGCUUCGGCUCGGACGCUGGCAUAAUGGUCGUAAACGACCCGUCUUGAAACACGGACCAAGGAGUC